rnacentral:lncRNA from 1 species
GCCUCCACAGCCCUCUCUCUUCUCUCACCAGAAAAUAAUAACCACAUCAACCCACCCCGCCGCCUCUCACUAGUCGGCGGAACCCCACUUUCCUUCUGUUCUUUCUCUUUCUCCGGCGACUUCACCAAAUGAACGUCGUUUAACAAACAAAACCCCACAAUAGACACUGCUUCCACCACCGGCGAAUCCAAGCCAGCUGCACCUCUGCCAAAACAAUACCGGAGCUCCGUAGGCAAACCCAACAAAAAAACCACUAUCGUCGCUGCUCCAUCAACGAAAACAUCUUGCUAUCUGGCACGUGAGAUUUUUAGUACUUGAAUUUCCAAAAAACCACCGUCGUAAGGUAAUAAAGAUGUGACUUUUUCUUUGCAAACUGUUUUGCCUACAAGAUGAACUUGAAUAUCAGUAGUUGACCAUUCUAAUUAGGAGUUAGGACAACAAUUUAAACAUUUUUUAAAAUUAUUAAUUUUUUACUGAAUAUGGUUUGUAAGGAUGGAGACUGAAAGUUGUGUAUUUGGCUAAAUAAAUUAUGUAUGAUGAAAGAUCUGUUUAAAAUCCCUAUUUUUCUCCAUUUGGGAGUCCAGUAAGCAUGGUAUAUUGAUUAUAAGAAUAAGAAAAGGAAUUCAGCUAAAGUAUAUUUAACAAGAUCAAGUGAUUUUUUUUACUCUAUUCUAGAGUUUUAGCUCUUCUAUGUUGACACAGACCUUCUAUAUCUCUUCUCAUUUGUAACAUGAUUAUUAAUUGUUUUCCAUUCUAAUUUAUGUGGCAUAGUUUAAAUUGAUACAAGUUUAAGUUAAAAUUAAAGAUGUUUCAAGCUUUUUUAAUAGAGAUAAUUAAGAGGCAGAACAUACAACUAAAAAGUACUGUAUUCAAGAAUUUGUAUUUAAGUUAAUAAUGUGGUUGAUUAGUAGGACUAACAAUUGCAUUAUUAUUCAUUACCGUCAAGUUUAUUUGUAUUUAAGCUAGUAAUUCGGUUGACUAGUAGGACUAACAAUUGCAUUAUUAUUCAUUACCGUCAAGUUUAUUUGUAUUUAAGCUAGUAAUGCGGUUGACUAGUAGGACUAACAAGUGCUUUAUUGUUCAUUGCUGUUAAGUUAAUUUGUAUUUAAGUUAGUAAUAUGGUUAACUGGUAGGACUAUGAAGUGCAUUAUUUUUCAUUACUGUCAAGUUAUAUUAAGUACUCCGUUUCAAUUUGUUUGUCUGAUUUAAUUUUGAACGGAGUUUAACAAAGUGAAGAACAUUUUAAAAUCUUAUGAUCUUAAAUUAAAACUGUAUAUAAUGAUCAAGUGUAGUAUUUUGAAAUGUGUACUACUGACUUCAAAAUGAUCAAGUGACGUCACUUGAGAAGUGGAUUAGUGACUUGAAAAAUAGUUAAGUGUAGCGACUUGAAAUGUGAAUUAGUUACUUGAAAAUGGCCAAGUGUAGUCACUUGAAAUGUGUACUAGUGAGUUGAAAAUGGUUAAUUAUAGUGACUUGAAAAUGUUUAAGUAUAGUGACUUGAAAUGUCAAUUAGCUAUUUGAAAAUGGUUUGAGUGUAGUGACUUGAAAUGUGUACUAGUGACUUGAAAAUGAUCAAGUGUAGUUACUUGAAAUUGUGAAUUUAUGACUUGAAAAUAAUUAAGUGUAGUUAUUUAAAAUUGUGAACUUGUGACUUGAAAAUGGUUAAGUUUAGUCAAUUGAAAUGUGUACUAAUAACUUGAAAAUAAUAAAGUAUCGUUACUUGAAAAUUGUUAAGAAUAGUAACUUCAAAUGUGAAUUAGUUACUUGAAAAUGAUUAAGUGUAGUGACUUGAAAUGUGAACUAGUCACUUGAAAAUGGUCAAGUGUAGUCACUUGAAAUGUGUACUAGUGAAUUGAAAAUGGUUUAAGUGUAGUACUUGAAAUGUUUACUAGUGACUUUAAAAUGGUCUAGCCAUUUGAAAUUUUGAACGUGUGACUUUAAAAUGAUUAAGUGUAAUUACUUGAAAUGUAUACUUAUGACUUUAAAAUGAGUAAGUGUAGUGACUUGAAAUGUUUACUUGUGACUUUAAAAUGGUUAAGUGUAGUCACUUGGAUGUGAACUAAGUUACUUGAAAUUGUGAACUUGUGACUUGAAAUAAUUAAAUGUAGUGUCUUGAAAUGUAUACUAGUUACUUGAAAAUAAUUAAGUGUAGUGACUUGAAAUGUAUACUAGUGACUUUAAAAUGAUUAAGUGUAGUGACUUGAAAUGUGUACCAGUGACUUGAAAAUAGUUAAGUGUAGUUACUUGAAAAUGGUUUAAUAUAGUUACUUGAAAUGUGUACUAGUGACUUAAAAAUGGUUAAGUGUAGUUACUUGAAAUGUGAAUUAGUUACUUGAAAGUGGUUAAGUAUAGUGACUUGAAAUGAAUGAUUUAGUGACUUGAAGAUAGUUAAAUAUAGUUAUUUAAAAUGUGAAGUACUUACUUGAAAAUGGUUAAGUACAUUGACUUGAAAUGUGAGUUAAUUAUUUGAAAAUAGUUAAGUAUAGUGAUUUGAAACGUAUACUAGUGACUUGAAAAUGAUUAAGUGUAGCGACUUGCAAUGUGAAUUAGUUAUUUGAAAAUCGUUAAGUGUAGUGACUUGAAAUGUGUGCUAGUGAGUUGAUAAUGGUUAAGUGUAGUUACUUGAAAUGUGAAUUUGUGUUUUGAAUUUACUAAAGUGUGGUAACGUGAGAACUGAUUUAAUAACUUGAAAAUAUUUAAGUUUAGGUACUUGAAAGGUGAACUUUUAUUUUGAAUUUACUCAAGUGUGGUCACUUGAGAAGUGAAUUAGUUACUUGAAAAUCCAAUUGUUGGGGGGGGUGGGGGUGGGGUGGAUAAGUGCGGAUAACUUGGGUAAAAAAUAGAUCUAUUAUAGCUCUAAUGGAUCUAUUUUUAUUUGUGCGUGGAUAUUUCUUAACUUCUCUAAACAUUUUUUAUUUUUAGUGUAUUUAUUUUAAUUUUAUUAAUGUUCAUAUCUUGGGGGUGAUUAGAUGGUAUUUGAUUAAAUGCUUUACUGUAAUAUUCUUUAGUUUUUUUCACUUAGUCUUUGUAAUUCUUGUAUAUUAUUUUGGAGGUAUUCAAAAUAUUCUAUAUCUUUUAUUCUAAAAUAUUCAAUUAAAGUAUUUCUGUUAAUCUCAUUUCUUCCAUAUCUUGUCCCUAAUAGUUUAAAUACUCAUAGUAUAUCAUUUUAUCCUAAAGUAGUUGUGAUACUGCAAAUUUCUUUGGAAUAAUUUAUUCUAAUUGUACUAUAUCUGAUAUUAAGUUCUAGGUUAUCUAUUUUGCUAAUUAUCCUGUCUUUUUCGUCUAUGAAUAAUUAUAUAUCUAAAUCAUAUUCUAAACUGUCUUUUAAUUCUAAUUGUUUUAUGGUUUUAUUUAUCCAAAUUAAUCUUUCUUUUAAUUAUUCUCUUCCUUUUCUAAGCUGGUUUCUAUAAUUAAUUUCUUCGUAUAGCCAACUUUGUUCUUUGAAUAUAUUCUAGCAUUUCUUAAUCUGUAUAAUAUCCAUCUGAAUAAUUAUCUAGGUAGUAAUAGUGAUUGUCAUCACUUAAGUAUAUUUCUCCUAACUCAUCUUCUAUCUGAUUUAUAUCUAACUCUUCAUCUUCAAUGUUAAAUAUUUUUUCCCAUAUUAUUUUUUUUACGUUUAUAAUUUCUAUAUCUCUAAGUAUGUAUAAAACUAGUGCUUCAAAAUUAUCUAUCAUUUAGGUGGGUUAAUUAAAUUCUUUUUCAUAAUUUUCUUUAGUUGUUUGUUUUAAUCUUAUUAAUUCCUCUAUAUUUUCAUUAAGAUAUUCUGGUUUAGUAUGUAGGUAUAUGUAAGAGUAGUUAGGUAGGUGUGAUAUAUAAUUUAUUCUAGUCAUAAAACAUUUAUCAAAUAUUUUUUUCAAUAUUAUUUUUCUUAUAUCUACAAUUUCUAUAUCCUUAAGUACAUACAAAACAAGUAUUUUAAAUUUAUCUAACAUUUCGUCAGAUAAAUAAGUAUUCAUUUUUCAUAUGAUGCCUUUUCAAAAUAUUCCCUUCAAUCAUACACAUAACAAAAUAUGAUCAUUUUAGAUUACUAUAUACUAGAUUAUUCUUAAAUAACAUGUUCUCUGGUCACUAUUAGCAUGGUAAUCUGGAUACUAUUCCCUUAAACAGUGCCUCUACUCUGGCUACUCCCCUAUCACGGCUUUCUUGCCUCAUCGGUUUCACCCUUAGGAUGACAUAGUUCUUAGAGAUUUUUUUCCUUUUCUGCUUUGCUAAUAAACUUCUUAACAUGCUAUUUUUUUAAUAAUUCUACUAUAAAGUAACUAACAAGAACUUAUUUUAUGAAAUCAUGAUUGUCAGGAAUUUAUGAAUUUAGCUAUUCAUAAUCGUAAAUAAAUAUACCUGUUCUGGUAGGUUUGAUAAUUCUGAGCUUUGUUCAUCUAUAGCUUUUCCUUAGAAAUAUAUCUGUUUUUUAUUAAAUAUUCAAAAGUUUUUUGUGUACAAGAGAGAUAGCUUGCUUUCAACACAUGAAAGUCUUGUCUUUAUCUUGCUGAAUGACUUACAUAUUUAUAGGAGGAAAUAAACUAUUCCUACUUCACACGUUUUUUACAUGUAAAGUAUACUAUUCCCACUUUUUACAAAAAAAAUCUUCCAUUUUAAUAGUAGAAAAGGACUAGACUAAACUAGACUAGUAUAAUAAGACAAAACUAGGACCUAUCUUUACAAAAGAAAAAAUCUUAAGACUAAAAAAUAAAAAAUCAAUAAUGGCACUUUGGCCAAAAAGUCCAAAACUAAACAAUUUACGUAACAAAAUUUCAAAACUAUAUAUGUCACUUUAUAUAUUUUAUUAUCUUGUUUUUUGUCUUUAUUCCAUCAUUACUCCAUUGAUUUUUAUCUUCUAGCUCACAUUAUCUUUUUGGUUGAUUUUUUUUAUUCUAGCCAGACUUCCGAAAUAAUAUUAUCUUCUCCAUUACAUCUCGAACAUUGAUGGUCUGGAUAUUUGUGUCCAAUUAUCUUGCAAUAUCUUGUUAAUAAUUUGUUUGAAAUAAAUCCUUCCUAACAGCUCUUCCAGUAGAUUGUUUCUCUGGGUUAAGUAAUGUCAUUAUUCAUUGCCUAACAUCUUCCAUAUUUGUUUGUCGUAGUUCUCUUGAAUUUGAAUAAAUCAUUUGAUGAUCUCUUGAAUAAUAGCUCCAUAUUGGAUUUUCAUUGAUAUAAUUAUUUGCUAAUUCUUGAAUAAUUGUAGCUAUUCCAAUAAGUCAUUUAUUUGCGUAAAAAUUAGGUAUCUCGAUUUUGGGUAUCUCUGGCUACUGCACAAUAUCUUUCGGUAUAAUCAUAUCUUUGGUUAAUCCUACUUUUACAAUUUGUAUAACUAGUUUGAUCUCGUCGUAUAAUAUCUCUGCUGGUGCAGUAUAAAACUUUAUAUAAAAUACAUUUCCUUUGGUUACUCUUAUAUAGGUGGUGAAUACUUUAUGCAAUUCUUCUAUAGCUGUUAGUUCUUCUCUAUCUUGGGUAUAUACGGUAUUUAAUAAUCCAUAGUCAAAACAAGUUUUUAUUAAGCUUGAGUUGAUUUUGGGUAGUGCGAUUAGCUUUUUGUAACCUUGCAAUUUUUGGGUUAUAUAGUUUGUGUUUGGUUCUUGGAUAUUUGUAGCUCUGGGGUUAAGGUUUAGAAAAGUUUGUACUUUAUAGAUAUUUUCUAUAUAUCCUCGGGCUAUAUGGUUAUAAGUUUUUUUAUCUGGUUCAAACUAUCUCGAUAUUUGGUAAUUUGUGAGGGUAUGUACAAGGGGUCUUUUUGUAUUUUUGGUAUAAAUGGUUUUUCAAAUAUCUUAUUCAUGUUCAUGUUCUGAUAUCUUUGUUCACUAACUCCUUUGCUUGUACCUUCAAUUGUAGAUUGAUAAAUGUUAUGGGUUUUAUGGAGUGUCCCAGCAUCUCCUUCUAGCUCUGGAACUUUAAUAACUUCCGAUCGACAGAGUUCUGCACACUGCUGAGUUAGCUGAUUCAUAGCCUUAGACUUCUGUUUAACUUCAUUAGUCUUUAGCUUUUCUAUUUCAUUAUCCAUAUUGUCCACUUUCAUUGAAAGCGUAGUUAGGGUUUUGAGUAUCUUUUCUAAAGCAUCAUCUUCUAUUAUAUCAGUUUGUGUAGCUUUGUCUUGAUAUGCAAUCUGGAAUAACAUUUUUGUUUGUACUAAUUACUUUAAUUGUAAAUGUAAAAUUUAAUAUAUUCAAUACUAGUCUUAAAAUUUCUUUUGUUGUAACUGAGUUUUGUAUUUUCUUUGUUAACCGUCAUCGAACUUGGAUAUUAUCUGUUCUCAGAAUAAAUUUGUUAUAUACAUUAUAUGGUUGAAAAGCUAAUAAACAUUUAUAUAACGAACAUAAUUCUUUUUUAUUUAUUUCCUAUUUUAUUUUUGUUUCAUUAAACGUACCUGAGUAGUAUCUGCAAUGAUGUUCUAAUUUUUCAUUUUCAUACCUAUAUUUAAGUACUCCACCAUAACUAUGUUCACUUGCAUCUGCUUCUACUAUAUAUGUAAUUUUCUAUUUUUUGGACUUAUUUUUUAUCUUCUUCGUUGUAAUUAUAUUCUAUGUCCUUUUUAAAUUUUUUUCGUAAAGGCUUUAGGUUUUAUGCUAAUUUUGGUAUAUAUUCUCUUACUUCGUUUACUAAUCCUAAAAAUGAUUGUAAUUUUUUUUUUUGUAUCUAAUUCUUCUUUUGAAUUUAUUAUUUUUUGUACUAUAUAUCGUUGCAUUUUUACCCCACUUUUAUCUAUUUAUAUUCCUAAAAAUGUUAUUUGGUUUUUCAUAAUUUCGGUUUUCUUUUCACUUAAGCUUAUUUUCGAUUUUUCUGUUAUAUCUGUAAAUUGUUCUAAUAAUUUUAAAUGUUUCUCUUUAGUUUUUGUAUAUAGUAGUAUUUCAUCUAUGUAUACUAUACAAUUAAGUAAUUGUUUAAAAUAACUAUCCAUAAAAUGCUGAUAUCUACCUGGUGCAUUUUUAUAUCCAAAUGGUAAUACGUUCCAUUCAUAAAAUCCUUGUGGUGCCGUAAAUGCGGUUAGUUCCUUAGAAUUUUUGUCUAACUUUAAGUUGUAAAAUCCUGAUUUACAAUCAAAUUUACUAAAAUAAUUAUAUCCUUGUAUUUGUCUUAUUUUUAAUAUCUUAUUUGGUAUUGGAUAAGUAUAUGUCAUAAUUUUUGCAUUUAAAUUUCUAUAGUCAAUAACCAUUCUACUUUUUCUUCUUUUUCAUUCACUAUGUUUAUUUACUAUAAAUUCUGGACUAUUAUGUUUACUAUUGCUUUUUUGUAUAUACUAUUUUUCUAAUAAUUCAUCUAUACACAUUUUAAAUUCUUUUAAAUCGUCAAAAUUAUAUGUUAAUGGUUUUUGAGUUAUUAUGCUAUUUUUAUCUAUUAAUUCAACUUUUAUAGUAGUUUUAUGUUUUUCCCAUCCUUUUAAUGGAUCUUCACUAUAUAUUUGUCUUAGUUUUUUCUUUAUUAUUUCUACCUUAUUAAUUGAAAAUAUAGUUAUUUCUUUUUUAUUUAUCGGAAAUACAACUAGUUCUACUGUGUCUUCUGUAUUUUUUAUACUUUCUAACUUUUGUGUAAUUUUUUCACUUCCUUCUAUCCAAUCAGUUUUCUUUCUAAUUUUAUUAAUAACUCUUUUUGCCCUUACUUUUUGUUUACAUGGUGUUGUAAACCACUAAUCUAUUUUAGUUAUUAUAUGUGGAUAUAAUUUAUCUNNNNNNNNNNNNNNNNNNNNNNNNNNNNNNNNNNNNNNNNNNNNNNNNNNNNNNNNNNNNNNNNNNNNNNNNNNNNNNNNNNNNNNNNNNNNNNNNNNNNNNNNNNNNNNNNNNNNNNNNNNNNNNNNNNNNNNNNNNNNNNNNNNNNNNNNNNNNNNNNNNNNNNNNNNNNNNNNNNNNNNNNNNNNNNNNNNNNNNNNNNNNNNNNNNNNNNNNNNNNNNNNNNNNNNNNNNNNNNNNNNNNNNNNNNNNNNNNNNNNNNNNNNNNNNNNNNNNNNNNNNNNNNNNNNNNNNNNNNNNNNNNNNNNNNNNNNNNNNNNNNNNNNNNNNNNNNNNNNNNNNNNNNNNNNNNNNNNNNNNNNNNNNNNNNNNNNNNNNNNNNNNNNNNNNNNNNNNNNNNNNNNNNNNNNNNNNNNNNNNNNNNNNNNNNNNNNNNNNNNNNNNNNNNNNNNNNNNNNNNNNNNNNNNNNNNNNNNNNNNNNNNNNNNNNNNNNNNNNNNNNNNNNNNNNNNNNNNNNNNNNNNNNNNNNNNNNNNNNNNNNNNNNNNNNNNNNNNNNNNNNNNNNNNNNNNNNNNNNNNNNNNNNNNNNNNNNNNNNNNNNNNNNNNNNNNNNNNNNNNNNNNNNNNNNNNNNNNNNNNNNNNNNNNNNNNNNNNNNNNNNNNNNNNNNNNNNNNNNNNNNNNNNNNNNNNNNNNNNNNNNNNNNNNNNNNNNNNNNNNNNNNNNNNNNNNNNNNNNNNNNNNNNNNNNNNNNNNNNNNNNNNNNNNNNNNNNNNNNNNNNNNNNNNNNNNNNNNNNNNNNNNNNNNNNNNNNNNNNNNNNNNNNNNNNNNNNNNNNNNNNNNNNNNNNNNNNNNNNNNNNNNNNNNNNNNNNNNNNNNNNNNNNNNNNNNNNNNNNNNNNNNNNNNNNNNNNNNNNNNNNNNNNNNNNNNNNNNNNNNNCACUUAUUAUAAAUUUAAAUUUUUGGUAUAUUAAAUUUCUUUUUAUGGAAGUUAUUAAACUCUUUUCUAUAGGUUUUAUAAUUCUAUCAUCUGCUAAAUAUAAUUCUAUUGCUGUAUCUAUUUCUUCUCUAAAACAUGCUUUUAUUAAUAUCUCUGUUCCUCCAAGGUGUACAUAUUUUAUUGGGUCUUUACUUUUUAUAUCUUUAUUUCUUUUUUAAUUAUUCUUUUUGGUACUAGUGGUAUACUAACUCUUCCUUUUGCAAAUCUACUGUCUAUUACAUGUUCUUUUUGGCUUACUAUGUAGUGUUCUUCCUUUUUUCUACUAAAUAUAUUUUUUAUUAUUGGUAUUUUAAAUAUUUUUUCUACACUUAAGUCUAACUCUUUUCCGUUUAUUUCAUCAAAUAUAUUACUGUCAAAUAUUACUUUUUGAUCUGUUCCUUCUUCAUUUAAAUAUUCUUCCUUUGUUAUUAUUUUUAUAUCUUCUUCAGUUAUUUGGUUUAUUUUUAUAUNNNNNNNNNNNNNNNNNNNNNNNNNNNNNNNNNNNNNNNNNNNNNNNNNNNNNNNNNNNNNNNNNNNNNNNNNNNNNNNNNNNNNNNNNNNNNNNNNNNNNNNNNNNNNNNNNNNNNNNNNNNNNNNNNNNNNNNNNNNNNNNNNNNNNNNNNNNNNNNNNNNNNNNNNNNNNNNNNNNNNNNNNNNNNNNNNNNNNNNNNNNNNNNNNNNNNNNNNNNNNNNNNNNNNNNNNNNNNNNNNNNNNNNNNNNNNNNNNNNNNNNNNNNNNNNNNNNNNNNNNNNNNNNNNNNNNNNNNNNNNNNNNNNNNNNNNNNNNNNNNNNNNNNNNNNNNNNNNNNNNNNNNNNNNNNNNNNNNNNNGUAUUUCUUAUAUUUCUUAUGUCUUUUUCUUUUCUUAUAAUAUCUUUAUUCACAUCCAAAUUGAGGUGCUAUUUUAUCAUUGCAACAUGGUAAAUUUUUAUGAAUAUUUUUUUCAUUUUUAUUUCUUCUCUAUAUUUUUCACAUAGAUUUCUGUACCAUUGUUGUAUGGAGUGUAUUCUUGCUCCUAGGGUAUCUACUAUUUUUGCUUCAUCUCAACUCUUUAUUAUUUUUGAACUAAAUGGGUUAGGUAAUUUACUAAAAUAUAAUUUUCUUAUUUCUCUACUUUCUUCUAUAUUAUAUGUUCCUUUAUAAUAAUAUUCUUUAAAUGCACAUGUAUACUCAUCUAUAUAGCACAUAUUACAUAUUGCUAAUUUUAACAUUAAAUUCCUAUUCUUAUCUUUCUCNNNNNNNNNNNNNNNNNNNNNNNNNNNNNNNNNNNNNNNNCUAAAUUCUUCUCUUAUAGCUAUUUCAUAUUUUUUCAAUAUUUCUGUUGGUAGUAUUUUAGUAGGUAUUGAUGUUCCUUCUAUUUUAUUAUCAGAUCUUAGUACUUUUUUACUUGCUUUAGCUAGGUUUAAAACCAUAAUUUUACUGUUUCUAUUAAUGUUUUUUUAAUAUAUUCUGGUGUAUUUGUUGUAUCUAUUUUAUUAUCUAAUAAUUGUUUUGACAUGUAUCCUAUCCAUAGUUGUAUUAUUUUAUUUGUGUCUAUUACACAGUCUAAAUCUAAAAAGUUUUAAUUAAUUAUUUGUUUUGGUGUCCAUUUAUUAUAUUCAUCCUUUGGACUAUAUCUUUUAAACUUAUUUUUGUUAUUAUAGGUUGGUUUUCUUAUUUCUGAUGUACUAGGUAUUAUAUUUUUAUCUAGAGUAUUUACUUCUGUAUUUAUUAGUUCUAGAUUUUCUUUAUUAAUUACUUCUUGUUUUUCAUUAAUUUCUAGUUUUCCUAUAUUUUCUAGAAGUUAUGUAUAUGUUUCACUAUCUUCCGAAUCAUAAUUAUCUGUUUCUUCAGCAUCUAUUGUAUUUAUUUCUAAUUCACUGGUUUCUGGUUCUUUAUUUUUUAUUUCUAAUUUUUCUUUAAAUUGAUUUAUCUCAAUUAAUAAUUUUUGUUCUUUAUCUUUUUCUUCUUUUUCUUUCUGUCUCUUUUCAUAUAAAUCUUUUAGCAUUUGUAGUUCUUUUUCUAAUUCAACAAUCCUACUAUUUUNNNNNNNNNNNNNNNNNNNNNNNNNNNNNNNNNNNNNNNNNNNNNNNNNNNNNNNNNNNNNNNNNNNNNNNNNNNNNNNNNNNNNNNNNNNNNNNNNNNNNNNNNNNNNNNNNNNNNNNNNNNNNNNNNNNNNNNNNNNNNNNNNNNNNNNNNNNNNNNNNNNNNNNNNNNAUAUAUAUAUUCUAGACUAUCUAUUGUUGAUUCUAAAUUUUAGAUUUCUGCUUUUUGUGCAUUUAUUGAGUUUUUGUUAACUCCAGCAAUUAUAUUAUACUGUAGUUUUUCUAUCCUUAUUUUUAAUUCAUUACAUUUUUCAAAUAUUAUUUCUUUUAAUUCUUUAUAUUAUUGUGAUUUUUGUAAGUUAUUCAUUUAAAUAAUAUUUAUAAUAUUUUGGUGGAGUGUAGGUAAUUGAAAUGUGAACUUGUGUUUUGAAUUUACUAAAGUGUGGUUACUUGAGAAGUGAUUUAGUAACUUGAAAAUGUUUAAGUGUAGUUACUUGACUGGUGAACUUAUGUUUUGAAUUUGCUAAAGUGUGGUCACUUGAUAAGUGAAUUAGUGACUUGAAAAUGUUUAAGUGUAGGUACUUGAAAUGUGAACUUGUGUUUUGAAUUUAGUUAAAUUUGGUCACUUGUGAAGUGAAUUAGUGGCUUGAAAUGCUUAGGUGUAGGAACUUGAAAUGUAAACUUGUGUUUUGAAUUUAGUAAAGUUUGGUCACUUAAAAGUGAAUUGUUGACUUUAAAGUUUUUAAGUGUAGGUACUUGAAAUGUGAACUUGUGUUUCGAAUUUACUAAAGUGUGGUCACUUGAGAAGUGAAAUAGUGACUUGUAAAUGUUUAAGUGUAGGUAAUUGAAAUAUGAACUUGCGUUUUGAAUUUACUAAUGUGUCGUAACUUGAAAAGUGAUUUAGUAACUUGAAAAUGUUUAAGUUUAGCUGCUUGAAAGGUGAACUUGUGUUUUGAAUUACUAAAGUGUGGUCACUUAAGAAGUGAAUUAGUGUCUUAAAAAUGUUUAAGUUUAGGUACUUGAAAGGUGAACUUGUGUUUCGAAUUUACUAAAGUGUGGUCACUUGAGAAGUGAAUUGGUGAUUUGAAAAUGUUUAAGUUUAGGUACUUGAAAGGUGACUUGUGUUUCAAAUUUACUAAAGUGUGGUCACUUGAGAAGUGAAAUAGUGACUUGAAAAUGUUUUAGUGUAGGUAAUUGAAAUGUGAACUUGUGUUUUGAAUUUACUAAAGUGUGGUCACUUGAGAAGUGAAUUAGUGACUUGAAAAUAUUUUAGUGCAGGUACUUGAAAGGUGAAUGAUUUAGUGGAGAAUCUUUGUGAGAGGAGGAUUAGGUCGUGUACAAUGUAUUUGUUAUUUAUUGAUGUCUUUAUGCUUUGUACUAUCUACCUUUUGUGUUUCUUGUUUAAGAUUGAUAUGGAAUAUCCUGAUAACGUUUUGAGAAUUUGACUUUUGAUUGCCAACCUUGUAAUCCCAUCUCCGCUCUCCCAUUUCCCGUUCCCCUACUCUCAUUUUUUUUUGUAUAAUUUAUAGUUUACUUUUGGAACAUUGAUAAAUUUGUGUUAACAAUUUGAUUUUAGUGUUUGUAUUGUUAUGAUGGUUGAUUACAUAUUAUAUUUGAUUGAUGGGUUUCUUUAUUAAAAAAAUUAUUUUUUUAAAUUUAUAAAAGCGACCACUGGUGGUCGCUUUUUUGAACUAAAAAAAAUUGAUCAUUUUUUUAAUAAAAAAAUAAUAUUGAAUUAUAAUCAUAUGGUCGGUUUUGAAAAAGCUACCACUGUUUUUGCGACCAUACCUUGUGGUCGCUUUGGUGGUCACAAAAUAAGGAAAAGCGACCACAUAUGAUCAUUUUUUGUGGUUGUUUUUCCUGUUUUUUCUAGUAGUGAAACUAUCUCUUAGAAUGGCAAUAUUCGUGAAACUUCUGAUAGUAAGACUAGAUCGGAAGAUCGAAAAUCAUAGGAAAUUUUUUGUCUGACUGCUAAACUGAAUUACUAGCUUUACAGACUAAAUUAUACUAAAAGCUUAUACUCAACUGGAGUACUUCUUCAACACUCUUUCUAAGAAGUUAUUGUAAUAGUAAGAAGGAAAGAACUUGGGCAUGAUCUGACUAAGAUAUAUUAGUAAGGACUCUUAAUAUGGCCAUAAAUUUGUAACAUGGAACAUAGGCCUGUGAAACAUACACUGGAAUUGCUAUGCCUUAGACAACGCAACUGCAACUCUCAAGCUUAAACAUACUCCUCAAAUACUCCCUCAACUAUAUAUUUCACUUCAAUACCACACUUCACUUGAGGCUACUAAAAAUAUUCGCAUGGGCACUGACAACUCAGUCUACUAAAGUCUAAGCUGAAUUGAAUUCUCUCACUGUGUUCAAGCCUACUCGAAUCUACAAAGUACACACAUAACACUGUAAUACUAGUCUGAGUCAUUAAUUCAACACACCAUGCAUUUUCACAACUUCUCAUCUCGUGAAUAAUUCUUACUACCUCUUCAACAACCAUAUUCAACCUCUUGCUAGCCAUUCAAUAACGUGUAAUGCAUCUACCCACUUACACAUCAACACGACAUUCAAGCCUAUAUUCAUAACUACAUAUGAACUUUUAAACAACACCCAUAAAAGCAUCUUUCUCAUAUUCUCUAAUUCUUCUAUCAAUAAAAACUUCUAGGCGUUGUUCUUAAGGAAAUCACACACAAAAUUUAAACUAGCCAUGACAUAUAUCAAAAACUUGGCCUCAAUCUUACUCCACACUUAUAAUCUUUGAUCAAACAAGAAUACAACAAUCUUUCCAUAAUAUGAAAUAUUUAUUCUCUCCCAUCUAAACAACUGUUCAUCACCACUACCAUUUCAUAAGGAGAGGUCACUGAAAGGUUAGAGCAUAAGGACCUGAAGCAUGAAAGAAUACUAUGCAUAACUUGGACGCUUAAAUGAGGCCUGAGAGAUAAAGUAUCCAUGACCUGGACUCAUUACAGAGAUAAAAUUGAGGAUAUACAUAACAUAAUCUAAAUUUUGUUGAUCAUUAAGAGAGUAGCAUGAUGGAAUUGAACAUACUGUAAAGCAUGAGUAUAUAAGUCAUGAGUAGCAUGACCUGAGUUUGGAGUUCAAAAAUUUCAUGGAAUAUGAUUCGUACAGCUGAGCAACUGGAACUCCUUAUACUAAGAACUGAAAGCGCACAUGAUUCUAUGAAAGGUGCGUGAAUUUGAGAUAUGAUCAUGGAACUGACAUGUAAGGCAUGAGUAUAUAUUGUGAUAACUGAAGUAAAAAUACCGAAAUAAUAAUGGGUUGUGAAUCAUCCUCCCUUACUACUAUUCUACAACAUACUGGCAUUACUACUGGAAUAUGAGAGCCUGACUUGGUUACUUAUUCUAUCAUCUCCCCCUUAGAUUUAAGCAAUCAUUUUAAGUGUACAGGACCCUUUUAAUAAGCUCUAAACUGAACUGGAACCACUUUACUCUAAAGUUUGGAAUAUGACAAUAAUCAUUCGUAAUAAAUUCACCCUAAAAGACUACACUCGAAAGUGCAAAACUCACUGCUAAUACUCCUUUAUGAGAUACAACUCGUAACUUUUUACAGCCCCAAUAGUCAUCAUAUAAUAUCUUAAACACUAGCUUAGAAUUUCUCGGAGUAUCACCAUACCAUGAGUUCACACCAUCUAGUGCUUCGACCUGCUUUCUAUUAGCUCAAUCUUCAAGGAUUCAAACUUAAAUUCUAACACUUAACAUGGAUACCUCCAAACCCUAACGAACCAUACUAACAUCCUUCAUAGCCUACUAAUAUCAUAUCUCUUAAUCACACCUACAUCAUCGUACUUAAUUUUGAAUUAAUAAACAUAAAUUCUUGCAUAUACUAUUUCAAGCCUUCUAGUUCACCUAUCAUAUAACUAAUCCCAUGGAUACAAAAAUCUACUAAAUUCAGAUAACACUAUCCCCACUUUACUAUUGCUAAACUUCUGGGUGCAUAUUUCUAGCUCUAGAUCAUAUGUUAUCAUGGGAUCCUAAGAAGGGAUCUGAAAAUACAUCUGACCCCUACGCACUGAGGUACUCACCCUCCAUUCAAUGGUUGAAUCAACUAUAGUGAUUUUCUGGGAUACUGUAAUCGGGCAACUUCUGUAUACCCAUCUGGCUAUGAUAGAUUUAGCCACUGGGUAGACAUGGAAAAAGGCUCUGCUAAUGUUUUUGGACUGAACAAAAAUUGACAUCUACAUAAGGAGUCACAAAAGUAAGUGAUGCUCUGGGAUCAAAUAAAACAUAAAUAGAGGAUCAUCUUUUUUGGCAUGACGUGAAUACUAAAAUAAGGGAAAUUUUUCCUAAAACGUCUUGUAGCCUCUUGUCCAUAAGUAUGACGCGCUUCACACCUAUGUACAAGACUCUACUCAACAAGGAUUUUCAUACUCCCUUGGACACUUACAACAUUAGGCUAUGAUAACAAGUUUUUUCACGACCCGAGGCCACCCCCUAAUCGUGACAAUGGUGCUUACGAUUACAAGUGACCACAAGCUGACCUAUGAGCUGGUACCUGUUGUGAGCACUGAGUAAACUAAUAAUAAACAAUAUAUGCGGAAAACAACUGACAGUUCCAUAAGAUUUUAAUUACUAAAACACGAUUAAAUCAUAGAUCUGAAACAUAUGAAGAAAUAUGGAAAAGACUAAUUAAAUAACUAAUAAACUGAAUAACUGUCUGAAUGUCUGAAAAGCCUCUAACUGACUGACUGUGGAGUUGAUGGGACAAACCUCCAACUAUCUUUGACUGAAUGGAAAUACUAAACUUCUAAGAUAAAUUGAAAUAAAAUAAUCAUGUCCUCGAUAGAUAAGGACUUACCACUGUCGUUGUUGCUGAAGCACUAGAUUGUCUAAGUAUGUUUGGGAAACUAAUCGUUUAGACCUAUGAUAUCAAACAUCAUAGCGCAAAGAAGAGUAUGUGGUCAGUACUUUGAAUGUAUUAGUAUAUGAGAUAAGGUUAGGCUGAAAUGCAUAGGUUCGUGCUCAUGAAAGAAUGACUGACUGAAUAGCAUGAGAUAAUUGAUGCAUAGAUGUGUGAAAGCUGUAAAAUCUGAGAAUGUAUGACCAAACAUAUAACAUGAUACUGAAAUAUUCUGUAAACUGAAAUACUAAAAUCUAGUAACUGAAUAACUAAUAAACUGUAUGUUAUAGUCAAGCAAACCUAAACUGAGACUAUGGGAGGUAUCAUCUAACCGACAUGCCCCAAUCUGAGCUAAUCAAGGUCCAACCUGUAACCCCAGUUGGAAUGGUGUCAGUACCGUGUGACAGGUAUAACACGAGCAGUGUUGAUCCACUAAACUAAUGUCCUAAAAUACUAAUGAUUCACCCUCAUUUGGCAGAUGCUCUAAUGAGAUAUGUGUUACCCUCAACUGGCAGGUAAACACUUUAUCAACCCACAACUGGCAUGUUGAUAUAUCUAACCUACGUUGGCUAUGUAGUUCUGGAACUAAGGGACUGCUACGAAAGGUCAAACCUCUCCUGGCAGGUGAGCCCUCAUCCCUGGGUUUGCUCAGUGUUAAAUCUUACUCUAAACUGAAUGACACUGAUUACUGGACUGAAGUAAGCUUAACUGAGCAAACAACUGAUCAUGAUAACUAACUGAAUGAAAACACUCAUGAUUUAUUUGAAAUUGUUUUGAAGAUACUAAAAUUAUGUAAACAGCUAAGUAUCGGGUGUUCAUAACCCUCUAGUGCAGAAUGGAAGUAUCAAUAAGGAUAUGUAAAGCUUUAAAACCCAUAAAAAAGGAUCAUUGCUCAAAACCCAACAUUUAAACACUUCAUCAAAUACAUGGAAAACAUGAACUUAAGCAUUGGAAUGGGUAAAACAUGGAAUUAAAAACAUAGUUACCAUACUAAAACCAUGAAUUAGGAAUUUAACAUGGAAAUUUCAUCAUUCAAACAUGUAAAAGGCUGAUCCCAUCGAAAACACUUGUAAACAUAAUUUAUAAUCAAAAUUCAUAAGAGCUUCAUGGAGUUUAUUCAUUAUAAACAUGUAAAAUUCAUCAUUUAAAACAUAAAAAUGGAUUAUUGGACUCCAUGGGUGAAAAGGGACCAUGGAUGAACAUCACACAUACCUUAAACCCUUAAACUUGAAAAGAAACACAAUCUUGAUGCUUUUCUUGAAAGUUCUCGGAUUAGGGAAUUUGAAUUCUUGCUUUCCGUGGAGAGAAAGGAGUGAAAUUGAUGAACUUGGGGGAUGAUUAGGGUUUGUUUCUUAGAGGAAUUUGAAGAAUAUAGGAAAAUAAUACCCUAACCAGCAUUUUAAUUUGUGUUUUUAUGAAUUAGGUUGAUGGGAAAAGACGUAACUGCCCCUCAAGAAAUUAAAUCCGCAACUCAAAUGCGAAUUAGAAGGCUAGUGACGCGAUAAAGGGCUCAUCGCUAUACCCACCACGACGCGAUGAAGGGUUCAUCACCAUACCCAUCGCGAUGCGCCGCUAUAGCGGUGAGGUUCUGGAAUCGAAAUCCAAACACAACCCAAUCCUCGUUCAAAAAAUCCAAAACUUCCCCGUGACGUACUUCUUACACCCUUGAACAUGAAUUGACUCAAAAACCUACAUCUCGAGGUCAGAAAGAACAAUUUAAAAAUCCUCAAAGUUAAGAGGCCAAAAAUAAGACUAAGUCCCCAACACUUAGUGAAAUUUUCAGGCUUUUAGCCUUUUAUGCAUGUAACUAGGUACCGAACUGAGCUAAGAAUAAUACGGAAUAUUACAUAGGAAUGAAGCAUUAUCUACCUUACAAGAUACAAUGAAUAGACUUAAACUUAGAGACACUACUUAUCUGUGCCCCAAACUAUACUUCAUCAUUUCCAAGUUACAAUUCUCCCAUCACACAUCCAACCACAAGAGUUUGAGUGCCACUGUAUAGUACUUCAAUGUUGAAGCCUAACUCAGAGAAAAAAGGUGUUAGCUUAAGCUAUGGGACUUCAAGCUCUACAUCUCUUUAAGAAUAUUACUUUACCUUAUCACUACCAUCAAACACCCUUGGGUUUUAAUUUCAGGGAGUACUAACCACAUAGUACUUAGGUUUGUGUUUUCAUCAAUCACCACAUUCAAGCCUAUCCUUACUACACACACUUCAUAGAUCUCUCCACUACGACCAAUAAAUUUUAUCAUUCUCACAAGGAUUUUUGCCACAUCUCUCCGUUCAAACUAUUUCACAUAACGAAAAUUCAUCUCUUUCUUUUCCCCUUCACCUAUAACCUUAGCUAAAGAAAUCACAUCAAAAUUUUCAUAUUUGAGAAUAUAUACUUCCCCUACCUAAGCCAGUACUACUCUUCCAUAGCUACUAUUGUACUAUCAUUAAGAGGGUCAUAGGCACCAUGAAUGAGAGUAACACUAUUCUAUUAUAACUUAUACUUAUUGUACUACUCAAGUUGGGACAUGAGGUGAAGAUACGACACAAUAAACAUAAAGUACAUCAUAUAUCAAGUGUCUGGAUCAUGAGUAGAGAGUCGUUCAGCAUAAACACAAUAUAACAUGAGUUCUUAGGACAUAUCACAGUGAGAAACAUGAGCGCAUACACCAUGAGUCGUAUAACGUAAGGUUAGAAAUCAUGAAGUCAACAAUUGAGAUAAGGAUUGAUAAUUGAAGCUAUUGCUUCUUAUUUUCAGAGCUGAGAUAUUCAUGAGUUUGCAAGUACUUUAUCACUUUGGGCUAAUCCCAACAUAAAGUGACUCGGUAACAUAUAAAAACAUCGUUCCUUAAAAAUAAGCAUAACAUGAAACAUGGAGUUAUGGAUCGUGAACAAUCAUAACACAGAGCUUGAAUAUUUGAAAACUUAUAUUGCUGGGGGCAUUAUUGCUUUUAGUUUGGAGGACGGAACAUGGACAUAAGUUGCAUAGAUAAUUCGAACCUUAGGUAUAUGCAUGACUUGAAUACAUAAGGCAUUGGUAGAUAACCUCUUAAAUAGAAGUAGGAGGAGUUUGCUUGAAUAGGAGUAGAUUUAUCAUGAUUCUUCCUUGAAACUAGCCACCAUAAGAAAAUUCAAAAACUACCUUAGUUCGUCAUCUCCCCCUUAGAUCAAAUUCACAAUCCUAAACUUGCGGACAUAUCCCCUCAUCAAAUCUAUAAUAAUAAUUGUCAACACAAUGGGGGUAUCAGUACACAUGAACACAAAAUCCCCUCAAUAAUUUUAAUAUAAAAACAUAAAUUCUUUUUAGGACAUCCUCUUCAGGAGCACUUAUCAUAUCUUCCUCUAACCCUCAAAGUCAUCGACUUAUGACUAACAUUAUCAUAGUCAUAGACAUCCAUGCUUCUAGACUCUUAACACUCUAUCUUCAACUCCUUAGAAUACUAGCAUUACACCUCUAAUAGCAUAACCUCAUAACAUAGCAAAAUUUCUAAAACUACACCAAUGGUUCACAUAGUCUAUUAAUUUCUCCCUCAAUUCAGUUGUAUAUAACACUAUGUAACAACUCUCUAUAUUUCUCCAUUCUAAGAAACUUGUGAACAUAGACUAGGUGUACAUGACAUUCAUAACUCAAAACCGAGUACACUAUAUUCUUAUAACUUAAGGAUCCUACUAUCAGAUGAUUUAGCCACUAUUUCUACUUCAAUACUAGAACUUAUGUAUAUAUCACAAUUACAUACUCCAGUAUUUUAUAAGUCAUCAACCUAAGAUCUUUCACACAUCACAUCAAGCCUAAUAAUUCAUUCCCAUAAAAUAUGCAUCAUUAAUCAUAAGCUACUAUUCUUACCACCAAAAUUCACAUCUAAAGUUCAAGCCUAUUGUCUAACCCAAUCAUGUAACACCGAUGAAGCAUGUUGCAUAUUAUACUAGUCCAUCAAAUUGGGAAAUCAACCCAAAUACCUCAUUUCACUUAACUACUAUCUUUAAUCACAUCCCCUCUGUGGCAUUAAUACUACACCUCAAAAUCCACUACAUACCUUCUCACAUGUAGUACUAACUUACAACUACUAGAAAAAAAAAGAAAAUUGGAGGGGGGGGGGGGGAAAGUCACAUAAUAGGGACAAUUGAUCUUAAUCUUAUAAUACAACCCAUUAUGAUCUUAUCAAUAUAUUCUACUUUCUCGCAUCAUAUUUACUUACCCACGCAUACAUCCACCACUACAUUCAAAUUCCAUAUACAUUAAUGAGUCUCUACCCAUAACUUAUCGACCAAUCUACCCCUUUCCAUUUAGAGCCUAAAAAUGAUUUCUAUAACUACUAUUACUAUCCACUCUGGGCUCUUUCACUAUUUUGAAUAAAUAACAAUCAUAGCCAAUCACUUCCUUCACAAACUACCAUAAAAUCUAUAAAAUCUUGCUACAACAUUAGUCUAUCACUAUAAAAUAGCAACCCAUCUCUCAAUCAAAGGUUAUACAACUAAAACUAGCUCCUUUAUGCAAAAAUUACCCUCACUCUGACUUCUAGACUUGUGACUUCAUUUAACUAGCUUCGGGAUCAUCUUACUACCAAUAGGUUAUGACACCUUAACAUAUACUACUACUCAAGUGGUAAUACUGUUCUAACAUUCUAUCAUAUAUCUCUGCCCUUAAGCAUGACAUCUGCAACAAGGAUUUUUUAAAGAAAUUGAAUACACUUCGUACCUUAGGUUGAAAAGCACGAUUGUAUUAAGAUAGAGGUAUACACUCGAAUUAAUACACUUUGAGUCACUAAUGGACUCCUCUCAAGUCCUUGUGAUAUUAUAACUUUAUGGAUAACUUAAUCAGAAAGGACCACUUCAUUAGGAAAUAUAAACUCUUAAAAUUGUAUCGCCUCGACAAUGAGGCAUGUCUCAAAAAUUUAAGUAAGCAAGGAAUUUAGAUCACUUCUGUAUGGACGAUGCUAUAGCAUGAACUAGAGUAUGAAAGAAUGUGAAAUAACUCAUAAAUGCCGGGUAGCCUCCUGAUUAUAAGUGUGGUGUACAACACCCCCAUAAGCAAGACUCUACUAGACAUGUCUUCGUAGACACCCUGGGACCAUGAAUCAUGCUCUAAUACCAAACUUGUCAUGACCCAAACUGAGGCCCUGGCCGAGAUGGGCAUCUCAAACCAUUAAAUCCUGAGAGUCCCCUUAAUAUAUAAUCAUAAGCAUAACUCAUAUGAAAUAAAAUACGAAAGAUAACCGAAAAAAUGGUAGUCCCAAAAUCAAAUUUAAAACUUCAUAACAUUUUAUCAAAAGGGAAAAACCCAAAUCCAAUCUAAAACACUCUACGAAGCCUCUUACUAGGCUAAAAGCAAUAAUUUGACUAAGUUGGGAAAAGGCCCCCGGCUAGACAAUAAAAUAACUAAAACUAAUAUCUGAAUAGAUUUGCCUAUCAAAGAAAAGGAGGCUCGCCAACUCUGAAUGUCGGAGGAAAAAUAUCUACUGGUUUGCAGGACUACGGGACUGGGCCUUAGAUCCUGAAAUGUAGGGGGUCAAUACUCGAAAGUACUGGUAUGUCGAACAAUACAAAAAUAACAUAUUUUUACACAACAUAAGUGAGAGCAUUUUAUAAAAACAAUUUAGCAUAAUGUAAAUGAAAACAUAUGGGCAUAAUUUGAUGAACUUCAAAACAUUUUCUUAUAAUCAUGACUCAACUCUUUAUUUUACUUCUGAGCUAGAUGGGUCACCCUACAUACGUACUAAUCCAUGGGCUAUGCGGAUUCCGCCGUUAGCCCGAUUGCCACAAGAAUUAGGGAAAAUAAUACAUAUUAUGCCAUAAGUACAUUGCUAGUCUACAAUCCCUAUUUUGUGACAUAAUAAAGUUCUAUCGGUAAAACACAGUUUCGGGCUAUGAGUUAUCUGAACUCAAGCCUUCUUCGGGUGACCAUCUCACUCUCACUAUAAUAUUUUUGGCCUACGGCCACACUAAAUCUGAACAACACUUAUAAAGUGUUGCCUAAAAUAGUUUUGGGCACGCUUUUAAAAUGUAGUCUUAAGUUUUAGCUUUAAGCCACGAUAAGUUUACCAACUCUUGUAAAGCGUUCUCUUUGAUACUGUAGGCUACACUUUAUAAGUAUUUUCAUAUUAUUAUAUAAUUGGCAAUGCCUUUUACAAAUAUGGUCACAUUUUUAGAAUGUGGCUAUUUUUUUAAUUUAAAACAAUAAUUUGUAAGUGUUGUAUUAUAACUUUUAUAAAAUUUACACCAAAAUAUGAUAUUUCCUUCAAUAUUUUUAUACUAAAAUAUUAUAUUCCCUCCCAUAUAUAUUUUAUUCCCUCCAGUUUCUAAUUACCCAAAAACAAAAAUCAUAAAACAUUAAUAUUGAGCUGAUGAAAUAAAGAGAAAUAACGAGGAUUUCUUCUUCAAUUACACCAUUGCAUUUUCAAGAGAAAUAAGCCAUGCGGUAGGGUUUCUUCUUGAUCAAUUACACCAUCCUAGUUUGAAGAGAAAUAAGUCAUUGGUGUUGUUGAAAACCCAUUAGUGUUGCUGUAUUUCAUCACCAUUAUUGAAAACCCGUGUACACUAACCCGUCGGUGUUGUUGAAAAUCCAUAGGUGUUGCUUUAUUUCAUCACCAUUGCUGAAAAACCAUGUCAUACUCUUUGUACCACCACCAUUGCUGAAAAACAUCAUGUUGUAUUCACUUGAGUGUUAGCAACUCGUGUUUAACUUAAAUUUAGGUAUAAUUGUUGAAUUUUGUUGAGAAUUAAACUUGUAAAACAAUGGUGCUGGUUGUAAUUGUUAAACGGAAAAGGACCUAAAAUGCCCUUCAACUAUGUGAAAUGGUGAAAAAAUGUCCUCUAUCUACCCAUUGGGUCUAAAAUGCCCUUCCUGUCUACCUAUUGAGCCUAAAAUGCCCUUUUCGUUUAUCUAUUGGGACUAUUUUGCCCCUUUUAUUUAAGAAAAAUUACAUAAUACUACAACUUAUCUUUAUUAACAACAUAAAAUUUCUAUCCUUUUUAUAUUACCAAAUAAAUAGUGCACAAUAUCAAUUUUUCAUCAUUCUAAAUUGAUCUGAUAAAUUAAAGGAAAAACAACAUAAAUAGUCAUUUUAAGAAAAUUAUUACAUAUACAUUGUCUUAUUAGUUGGUUGUCAGAUAUAGCAUAUAAAAUAUUUACUUUUAUAACAGAUUCUAAUAUAUAGAAAAACAACUAUAUAUUAAAUCCUCAUAUUUCUUAUUUAUUGCCUAUUUUUAUGAAAACCUUUGUUCAUUCAUUUUUUAUAUACUAGAUCAAGAUUUUAUGUUUUUCAUUUUUAUUGUCUGCUUUCACGAUGGCUCCAUAAAAAUAUAUGAUAUAUUUAUAGAAUAAAAUUCAUGGGAUAUGUAUAUAUUAUACAAAUUAUAUUUAUAUUAUAAAAAUACAUGUUAUAUUUAUAUCAUACAAAUUAUAUUUAUACCAUAAAUACAUGAUAUAUUAUGACAUAUAAAUUAUAUUUAUAUCAUAAACAUACAUGGUAUAGUUUAGAUAUAAAAAGUUUAUACCAUGUAAUACUGAAAAUAUAUAUUUAUAUUUAAUAAAUAAUUUUUAACAAGAAAAGUACUUAAUGAGAUAUAUCAUGAAUAUUUAUCCCAUAAAUUAUAUCAAAAAUAUAAUAAUAAUCUAACUUUGACAUAAAUUAUAUUUAUAUAACAAAAUAUAUGGUAUAUUUGUACUUUCUACAUAAUGACUUUUAUUCCAUGAAUAUUUAUUCAUAAAAAUUAUGGUUAAUCCAUUACAUUAGAAUUAAAAAUACACGAUAAUAAAAUAAUAUUAGAUGAUUAACAUACAUGAAAAUAAAAAGAAACAUACACGGGCAAAUAAUGGAAUACAUGAUUUAUGUAAAAAUAUUUGAAUUUUGAAUACAAGAGAGAGAAAGAUUUGAAAGCAAGUAUUAUCUUUCCACUUUUAAUUUGAAAAUUGAAAAUAUAUCUCUUAAAUUAAGGUGAAUUGAUAAUUUAUUAUAGCAUUACAUUAGGAAUUAUAAUUAUGUUUUUUAAAUGACUAUAUAUGUAAAAAAAAUAUAUUUAUUUUUGUAAUAUUGAAAAAGUACUAUUAUUUAUAUAGUUAAAUCUUAAGGAUGACCUUUUCAUGUAAUUUCCUUAAAUAAAAGGAAAAAAUAGGCCCAAUAGAUAGAUGUGAAGGGUAUUUUAGGCCCAAUAUGUAGACGAAAAGCGCAUUUUGGGCCUAAUAGGUUGACGGGAAGGGCAUUUUAGGCCUAAUAGGUAGACGAAGGACAUUUUUGCAUCAUUUUACAUAGUUGAAGGGCAUUUUAGGCCCUUUUCCGUUCUUUAAAUUAAACAUAUAUUGGGUGUUGAAUAUUUGUUGAAACCUUAAAUUCCCAUUAUAUAUUGCUGUCACACUCUUUUUUUCGCUAGAGGGUCGAGUCGAAGGUUUUUUCCAAUUAAAGUGACGGUUUUGAAUAAGGAUUAAUUUAUUUACAAAGUCGCCACUUGGAAUUGAGUUAUGGUGUUCCAAGUCACCUUUUUGAAUCCCUAGUCAAAAGAAAAUGACUCUUUUAUUUUGGUCUGCGAAAACAGAAGACUGAGUAAGGAAUUCUGUUGAUCGAAGGGUAGGUGUGAGGCACCCCUCGAGUCCCGUGGUUCUAGCACAGUCGCUUUUAUUGACUUAUUCUUAGCUUUAACUAUUUUGGAUAAAUUAUGUUUGCAGGGCUUAAAUUGCUCAUCUUUAAUUAUACCAAAAACUUGUCUAUUAUCUUAUAUUUAAAUAAAUCCGUGAAAGUCAAUUUUAGAAAAAUAUUUGCCAAAGUGCAUUAUUGAAUCCUUGAAUUUUUAAAUGUCUCAAAAAAGAUGUGUGUGCCGCAUACUCAAUUGAGACGAAUAUUUUAACGUACCUAAAAAACUUACCUAAUGUUAAAGGCGUUGGUUGGCCGUUUAUAAACUCGUAAAAAUUUUAUCUUAUCACAAUGCUAUUUAACUUUAACAAUAACCUUUAAGAAAUAUUUAUUCAAGGCAAUCAAUUAAAGUAACAAUAAAAAUUAUUAAAAUUUAUUAAUUACAAUGAAUAAUAAUAAAAUAAAAUGAUAAAUAAUAACUAAAAAAAUACACAAAACUAACCAUAUUAUGUUAAUCUUUAAUAUGAUCCCCAAAUCUAUUCUCUUUAAUUAAUGCAAACCCAAAGCACCGUGAGACCAUGUUUGAUGAAAUCACAUACUUAAAUUUGUAAUAUGUUCAACUAAAGAAUAAGCCAACAAAUAGUCAUGAAAUAAAUUCAAACAAACACCAUGAAACUUGACUAUGAGAGCAUUCCAUUCCACCGAUAGUCAUUUACGUAUGAUGCAUGUGUGUCUCUUCUUUUUUUUUAUGCAAAAUAUGUUGAAAUAUAUAUUAAGUAUUAUAUAUUUUUUAUUCAACAAAUACAUUUCCUAAAUCAACUCUAACUUUGAGUCACGGCAGGUAGCCUUUUGCUCCGUAGGGAGCUGAUCGAGAACAAACUUUUAGUAUUUAUAGUCCAUGAGAAAUUAAACCAAUCCUAAUUCUAACUGUUUUUUUUAAGAUUCGAAAGUUUAUACCACUAUACGUCUAUUGUGAAUUGGGCCAAAUGAAUCAACCAACAAGUAUUACUAGAGGCCCCUGGGAAUUUUACUAUAACAUUUUAACAUAACUUUCUUUUUUUUUUGGUUUUUGCAUGCAUGCAUUCAUGAUUUCUAUAUUCUAGUUCUAGUGUGUAACACAAUUACACUAAUCGCACGUUAAUUAAAUGUACCCCUACAUCUUUUAACAUUAACAACUUUAACAAUUAUCUCAUCCAAACUUCAAAACUCUAAUCUAAUUAACUUCAUUUCAAAAUGACAAACAAGUUAUAAAUGAAGACAUAGAGAAAACUACAUAAAAAUAAUAAACUACACACACUAAAUAAUAUAACAAUCCAUUAGAAUAACUUCAUUCAUGAUUUGACUCACAGUAAAAAUUAUAAAAUAAAUAGUGAUAGAUCGAACAAGAACCUAUAUGAUGAACUAAUUAAAAAGAAGCACGAAUGUCAUCACUGAAAACUUGAACGAGACUCCAAAACUCAAACUGUAACUCUUCUUUUUUUUCUUUUCCUUUUCUGUUUCACUCUUAGUUUUUCUUUUGAUUUUUCUUCAAAAUGUUAGUUUUUUUUUUUUUUUGGGUUUUCUUUCUGUCCGUGUGUUUUCAUUCUCUUGUUGUUUUCUUUGGUUGUCUUUCUUUUUUUUGGUUUUUUUUUUCGUGUCUAUAUUUUUUCUCUCUAAUCUCACGCCCCCUUCUUUUUCUCCCUUCUCAUUUUCUCUCUUUGUUUUGUUGUUUCUUUUUUCCACAAAUGUUGUUCUCUUCCUCCUUUUCUUUUUCUGUUCUUUAACUUUAAUUUGUUUUCUUCAUUGUGUUGCUGUUGUUAAUCCCCUUUUCCUUUCCCUAACUUUCUAAGGUAACUUUUGGUAGAGUGUAUUAGGAAAAAUAAUGCAUGUAUUAAUUUUGUGUAUUAUUAACACCUUGUUUUGUGUCAUUUUUCAGCUUGUAUAUAAACAAUACUUACAUUAGUUGUACAUUGUAUUGUGUAUUAAACUAUGUAUUAGUUAUACCACCAUUUUUCUAUGUAUUACUAAUGUAAAAGAUUUCAAUACAUGCAUUAACUUAGUUAAUGACAAAAUUACCCUCAAAUCCUAUCUUAUACAUACUUUGCUGCCGCUUUGCUCUGUUCUUUUCGAUGGAAAAGCAAGAGUUCUUUUCUCCCAUCUUCUUCUUUCUGGUUAAUCAAUCAUUCAUUGUUUGUUUUUCUUCUCUAGAUUAACACUUCUAUCCAAUCUAUCUCUUUACUCAUUCAUAUUUGUUUUUUCUACUCCUAUUUCACAAUUUGGGUAUAAUUUUUUCUAUAUCAAAAUCAACAAUUAUAUCAAUGCAAAACUGCUAGUUGGCAUAAUCUUUACACCGUGUUCACUGUCUGUUGAAAGGGAUUUCUACAUCCUAUUCUUGCUUCGUUUUGUUAUUUACAUUUUUUGAUAUUAUUGUUGUUGGGAUAGUUGUUCAUAUUUCUCAUCUAGCUAAAUUUUCAUUUUUUGCAUAACAUCUUGAUUGAUAAAGGAGGGUAUUUUUGUAAAUUAAUAAUUUCUUUUAUAGAAAUUAUAUAAGAAAUAUUAAUUCUAAUACAUCAAACCAAAUAAAGUAUAAAAAAUAAUAUGAGUAUAACUAAUACCAGCAUUGUUAAUGCAAGCAUUACUAAUGCAAACAUUACUAAUACACCUUAUUCUGCAUUAGUCUUAUACAUUCUACCAAACGACCCCUAAGUGUUUUUGUCUUUUUGUUGUGUUCUUUUUUCUUUUUCCGGUUUUUUUGUCCGUGUGUAUUAAUGUGUGUAUAUAUAUGGGUGUCAUGUGGGAGGUUGAGGGAGUUGAGGAAAAAGGGGGAGGGGAGGGUUGGGGUAGUUUAGUUUAGGAUAAGAAGAAAGAUUUUUUUUAAUUUAAAAUAUAUAAAAUAAAAAUUAAUUAAUUUUUAUAUUUAAGAAAAAUAUAAUAAAAGUUUACAAAAAAUAAAAAAUAAAUAUAAUUAAGUGAGUAGUAAAACCAUUAUCUUGUUUAUUAAAAUUAAAGGAAAAUAUAUUUUUUAAUUUUUGUAUUAUAAAAAACAAAACUAAAAAAAUAAAAAUAAAAAUAUCCCAAAAAAUGUAACGUUACUUAUUUGUUUUCAACUAAAAAUUAUUUAAAAUGAAAUAAGAGUUAAAAUAAUAUCAGACUAAAUAUAAAUAUUUAAUACCCAAAAAUAUAUAUAUAUAUUAAAUUCGAGAGAGUCAAAAAUUACGUGUCUACAUUUUGCCCCUCUUUGUGUGAAAUCUCAAAGAGUUUUCAUACAAAGAAGUAGACAAAGAAGUGUUUUUUGAUCCUUUAAUUAUUCGAAAAGUAAAGAUAAAAUAAAAUAAAAGAUGUGACCGAGUCCUGGUUUUGGGCCGCCUACAUAUCCCGGGUUAUAAGGGAAUCAGAUCACUUGUUGUUCAAAGGUAAAAAGUGAGAGAAAGAGAUAAAGGUCGAGUGAAUUUCUGUUGAGUUUCUGGUUAACGACUGCUGCUUUUUUACAUCAAAUGACUAACAAAAAUCAAAAAUUAAAAAUACAAAUGAAAAAUGCAAUUUCUUUGGAAUUUUGAAUCGAAUCUUCAAGACUUGAACUUGAAAAUUCACCAUAUUCUUCAGGCGGGCUCCUGACUUGCUAUUUCCUCACCCUGUUCUUCAGGCGGGCUCCUGGACUUCCUUUUUCUUCACCCUGUUCUUCAGGCGGGCUCCUGGACUUACUUUUUCUUGCUCUGUUCUUCAGGCGGGCUCCUGGACUUCUUUUUUCUUCAUCCUGUUCUUCAAGCAAGCUCCUGGACUUUCUUUUUCUUUAUCCUGUUCUAUAGGUAGGCUCCUGGACUUACUUUUUAUUCAUUCUUUUCUUCAGGCGGGCUCCUGGACUUUCUUUUUUUUUUUCAGCCUGUUCUUCAGGCGGGCGAUCCUGGAUUUCCAUUUUCUUUACCUUGUUCUUCAGGCGGGCUCCUAGAUUCACAUCAAAACUAAAAAUAAAAUUAUCCUAAACAAAGAUUAUUAUAAAGAGAUAUUUCAUUUUCUGGAAAAAUAAAAUUCCAAACAACAAGAAUUAAAUGUUUUCCCCAGUUUAUCGUCAAAGGACUUUUGUGAAAGUCACAUCAUCACUACUUGAAAAACCCGAACAAAAAAAUGCAUCUUCUAUAAGUUAAUUGGAAUGAUUCGACUAGAAAGUGCAUUUUCUAGAAGUCAAAGGGAAUGACUUGACUAGAAAGUAUAUUUCCUAAGAAUCAAGAGGAAUGACUCGACUAGGAAGUACAUCUUCUAGGAAUUAAGGGGAAUGACUCGACUAAAAGGUACGUCUUAUAGGAAUCACGAGGAAUGACUCCACUAAAAGGUAUGCCUUAUAGGAAUAAAGGGGAAUGACUCGACUAAAAGGUACGCCUUAUGGGAAUCACGGGGAAUGACUCGACUAAAAGGUACAUCUUAUAGGAAUCAAGGAGAAUGACUCGACUAAAAGGUACGUCUUACAGGAAUCAAGAGGAAUGACUUGACUAAAAGGUACAUCUUAUAGGAAUCAAGGGAAUGGCUCGACUAGAAGGUACGUCUUAUAGGAAUCAAGGGAAAUGAUUCGACCAAAAGGUACGUCUUGUAGGAAUCAUGGGGAAUGACUCGACUAAAGGUACGUCUUAUAGAAAUCAAGGGAAGUAACUCUACUAAAGGUACGUCUUAUAGGAAUCAAGGGGAUGACUCGACUAAAAGGUACAUUUUAUAGGAAUUAAUGGGAUGACUCGACUAAAAGGUGCGUCUUAUAGGAAUCAAGGGGAUAACUCGACUACAAGGUACGUCUUAUAGGAAUCAAGGGGAAUGACUCGACUAAAAGGUACAUCGUAUAGGAAUCAAGGGGAAUAACUCGACUAAAAGGUACAUCUUCUAGGAAUCAAGGUUUAAUUUAAGAAAUAUAUCACCUAGCAAUAUAAACUGAAAUACCUGGACAAAGAAGUAUACCUCUGAGGGAUAUAUGAUGAUAAUUUUUUAUCAUAAUUUUAUUAUCAAACCUGUGCAACAACAUUGCUUCUUGUAUUUAUGGAAAUGAGGCAUUGCAGCCCUUGAUAUUUAUACUCUGAAGUUCUUGAUUUGAAAGUAAUAUGUUUCCUGUUUCAUCAAGGAAAACUUAUGAGUUCAAAAAUAUGGUGGCAGGUUUGUGGCUUUAGCUUUUGUUNNNNNNNNNNNNNNNNNNNNNNCAUAUUUAACCUUGCUUCCAACCAUUAUCAUCCAUCAUUGACUUACUGUAUCAUUGACCAAACUCAUAUUAUCAGAACUGACUUUGAAACAAACACAGUAUCUCUACUUUGCCAUGCUCCUCAAAUAAACCCUUUGAACCUUGGUCCUUCCAUGAGUUCCCAGACUCAUCUGUUGACAAAAAUUUUCGCAUGCCUUAUUUUGGCUCACAAUCUUGUCUCUUUCAUAUGUUGACUUUUUGUCUUGUUUUAUGUAAUUGAAGAAUUUGGCAGCAAGUUUUGAGAUCCUUUCUCACUUGUUUUGAAAUAGACUUGACUCAAAGAUACAAGAAAAAUGACAAUGAUAAUUUUUUUUUAAAUAACUGACUCAAGAAGAGAAAAAAAUAGAAAUAUAGAGAAGGAAGAAAAGACAAUGAAUGUCCCUUUCUAAAAAAAAUUAUAAAGAAAAAUUUAUAUGAAAAUGAUAGUCAACUCUAAUGAUUAUGACUGCAUUUUGAAUUAAACAGCCUGACUUCCCACACUAAUCAUUACAACUCUAGUUCACUCAUUAGUUUGAAAUGGAAACAAUCUUAAACAUGUUCCCUCUAGAUCAUAAUCCUCCUUUGGCUAGUGGCACCUCAAUGGGUUUUUGCCAACGCCUAUCUCAUUUUCAUUUCUUUCUCAGCUCACUUUCACCUUAUGGUGCCCAAAACGAUUUUCACCAAUAAGACUCUCUCAUUUUUACUGGUUCAUUUUUUUUUUAGAAAAUAAUACCCAACAUACGAAACAUCAUGCAACCAUAACAUAUUUAGCCUUGACAUUCUCAAAGAUCGAUCUGAAGGGCUUUCUUUGGUUGUAACUUGACUUUUGAAAAAGGUUAGAGAGAAAGGGAGACAUGAGGCUAAAAAAUUUACAUAACAUUGGGUGAAACAUACAACUUUUGGAAUCUACUCUUGUAAGGAAAUAAACUUUGCCCCAAUUUCAUUUUAUUCUAGGUAAUUUGAAUUUUCUUUUGGUUGGACCAAACCCCAAAGUAGGGCUACCUACAUAUCUUUUCAUAGCAAGAAUCAGAUCAAACGUAGUUCAGACAACUUGUUCUUCUGCUUGAUUCUGAUUUUUUCUUCUUUUUUUCAGUUGUUAUUGACUCUUUUUCUCUUUCUUUCUUUUUGCCACAUUUUUCUUCACUUUUUUUUUCUUCUUUUUUUUUUGAAACUUUUCUGACUCUGGUCUUUUGCUCAACACUUUUUUUUUAGCUUUGUUGACUCUAUCUUGAUUUCAAAAGAGAGGUAUAAAAGAAAAUAAAAUUAAAGCUCAAAGGGGGUAACAAAAGAUGACACAACAUUUGGAUAACAGAAUAAAAUGCCUUCUUCGUAUCAAUCCUUAAAAAUGUAAGUACUUAACAUGCAAUCUGAGAGUGAACAUAAAAAUCAUACACAUAUUUAUCAUCAUUAUUUUGACUGAGCAAGUAUGUCACUACUUCUCAUGCACAUGAACAUACAGGUCUACAUAUGUUGUAAUUUCCUUACAAUAGAUGAGUCGUGCCUUUAUGUUUUGAGCUAACUUCUUUUUGCUCCUUCUGACUAUGGAAACUAUAUAUCCUCUGAUUGAUCUCAUUCAAAAUAUUUGAGAUGGACCUUCUCACUGAAGACCAAAUCAUUUUUAUUCACAAAGUGAUUUCCUCAAUAUAUUCAAGUGAGGUUGUAACUAUGUCCCCAAACACCUUAGCACUUUACUUAUUUUUUCAGAUGCUCUCUUUUUCUAACCUUAGCUCUCUGAUUUAAUGUUUCAUGAUUAAGUUGAUUUUAAGAUCCGGCUAAAAAUUUCACAGGCAUGUCAUAACACUAGAAUCAACAUAAAAUGUGUUGUGUAAAGAAGACAAACAAACAACUUAAAAAAAUAAAACAAAACAACAAGGACACCACAUUUUAUUAAAAGAAAAGAUAGAAGGGUUUAAAUGAAAAUGAAAGACAGACAAAACAAGAUAGAUUUCAAACUACAAUCCUGAAAUAAUUCAAAAAAUAAAAUAGAAAGAAAACAAAAUAAACUACCAACAAUCCUUCCAAGUAAGGAAAGAAAUGACUUCCUCAUUGUUGAGCUUGACAUCUUAGCCACUAGUUUGCAUAUCAACAUGACUAGAGCUUCCACUACUGCCCAACACAUUUUCUUUAACAAAUAAAUUUUAGAUCCCCAUGCUUAACUCAUUGUUUCCCACGUAUUGUGCAUUACUGUGUGUUAAUGAAGGAUUUUGUGUGCGCUCAUAGUGUCAAUGUUUUGCACUACAAUCAAAUUUUAUUGAAUCAUCCUUUCUAUUUCUCUUUUCAAAGCAUGACAAUCCUCAAUAUUGUAACCCUGAAUAUCAUAAUGAUAUGCACAUCGUACACGAGGAUUAAAAUUUCUUGAAUAUGGAUUAGGAGUGCACUCAAGGAAAGGAGUGAUUAUGUCCAGCUUUCUCAAUCUCUAGAAUAAACUGGCAUACGACUCCUCAAUUGGUGUAAAAUUAUUCUUUGACUUUUCCCUUUUUGGAAACUCCGGUCUCGAUUGAAAUUUGGACUUAGAAGUUCCUUGAUAAAUAUAUGGAGGUUUAGGACGAUGUUGAGGGACCGGUGCAUGCCUUUACAGAUAAGACAAUGGAUGAGCAUACAACUGUGUAUUGUUCAAAGGAUAUUGAGGAAAUGGAAUAAAAUAUCUUGGAUUUUGAAAAGAGGAACCUUGUUGCAUGUGAGCAUAUGAAUUUGAUGUACAAGCUCGGGAUUGAGACCGAUAAUAUUGCUAAGUUUGAACUCUUGAGCUCUGCUUUGCCCCUGUAACGACAAUAGGUAUAUUUUUCUUUUUUUCCCCUUCUAUCCCUUUCAAUUGAUGGCAAUAUCAUCCCAAGUGUUUUACAAAAUCCUUGUACCCAUCAUGUUUCUCAAAUUUCGAUAUCUCAAGGCUUGGAGAAAGGUUAACACUUGAAGACAUGUCCCUGUCUUUAUAUACAACAUCUUUAGAAUUUGUAAUUCCCUGAGAAUUUUUCAUAGCCUUUUCUGUUCUCUUCAUUUUCCUAGCCAUUUUCUCUUGCUCUUCUGUCAUGUCAGACUUCUUAGUAAGAAAUUUUGGUGGUCCAACUAACAUAGAUGUGCGCUCAGGAGUAUAAUAGUGAUCAUCAAGAGUGUUGAACAUUGACUUACUAGAAGAUUAGGGAGGCACAAUCAUCGGAUCAAAAGCUAAGGUGGAAACCUCAGUAGAGGGUGGAGCAACAGAAGCAGAGACUAUAGGUGGUGGAUUCGAUGUGGUAGAUUUAUACUGAAGAUCUAGAGAAUGAAUGAUUGAAACAUUGAGAUUCUUUUGGCUUGGAAUAGAUUCCGGGGCAUGUUGUGGCGCAUAACCAACAGCAGAAAACUGACCUUGCAAUUUUGGUGAAAAACUUAAGGUAUUUGUAGGGUCAAUAGUGGAAAAUGAUGGAGGAGGCAGCCCACUGUCCCAAGCUCGAUAUAUUUCCAACAUUUGUUGCCUUAAACUCACAAUCUCUUAUUUUAACCUCUUAUUUUCCUUACUCUUUGUCUGAUCCAUGAUUUCACUUUCUAUAUUCUUGCUGAACAUGAAUCUCUUUCCUGAAUUUAGUGUAAUAUGGGGGACCAUCCAAAAUACCACAAACCAACCACCUUAAAUUAACUGUGUAAGAAAUAACAAAGGCAUCAAAAUGUAAUAUUUUUUCAAAAACUCUUUUUCUUUUAUCUUCUUUAUGAAAAGAUCACCGAACCCCAGAAGGGAUGCCUACGUAUCUCACUAAGAUGAGAAUCAGGUGUGCGUAGUUCUUGAAAUAUAUGUUAUACAAAACUAAGCCUCAAGAACCCUAAAGGUUCAGGGAUGUUAAGAUUUAUGUGUUUUUUAUUUUGUAAAAACUUAGCCUCAUGAUCCCUAAAGAUUCUGGGCUAUUAAGACGUAUAAAAAUUGGAAUUGAGGAGUAGAAAAAUAAUUAUGAAAGGAAUUAUAUUUUCAAAAUAUUCCUCAAUAAAUCUAUGAAUAAUUUUUCAAAAGAUAGGGUCAUAUCCCGAAAAAGGGCUUCUUACGUAUCCAGAGUGAGAAUCCGACCCUCGUAGUUCAUAAAAAUCGUAAAACUAUGUUACUAUAUAUUUAAAAAAAUUUCUUUAUUUUAAAAAUAAUUUUUUGUUUUUUUUAAAAAAUGAUUCACUAAGUGUGAGGAUAAUUUAAUCUCUUGCAUUUUAAAGUUGCCUAAAGCCGGUCAACAAACAAACAACCUUCCAAACAAAUGUCAAAGAGCAUGUAGGAUGCACAUGUUGGUCUUUAUAAAGUAGGUCACUUGUCCUAGACAAACACGGCCCCUGUGCUGAGUCCCACAAAGUCAAAUGCAUAUGAUGGAAAUAAAGAGGAACCUAAUAGGGAUAACCAGAUUCUGAGUUUUUACUUUUUCUAAGUUUAAGCCUAAUAAGGAUAGGUGUCUAGACUGUCUUACCCGAGUGGACAUUCGAUCCAGGGAGGGACAACUUGGUCGGUAGCAGGGCAACACCGCCUUCGUUGCUGAUCCGAACCCCGCCUAACUUGUGUGACUAUAAUCCUUCACCAGGUGCCUUGAUACUCUGUCUAUCUCAAAAAGAAAGUAGGAUGCAUGCGCUGCAUUCAUUCUAUCCUAUUUCAGAGACUCAGAGGGAGUGAGCAAGAUAAGAUAGUAUAUAAUAUAGUUCAAUCAAUAUUAAAGUGGUAAAUAAGCGACAAGUAGCACAUAAGGACAACAAACACAAUAUAAACAGUAAUUUAAAAAAGUAUAAGUCAUUAUAAAAAGCUCGAAUUCUUUUUAGUUCCCAGCAGAGUCACCAGAGAUGUCCCACCCCUUUUUUCGCUCGAGGGUCGAGUCAAAGGAUUUUUCCAAUUAAAGUGACGGUUUUGAAUAGGGAUUAAUUUAUUUACAAAUUCGCCACUUGGAAUUGAGUUAUGGUGUUCCAAGUCACCUUUUUAAAUCUCUAGUAAAAAAAAAUAACUCUUUUAUUUUAGUCUGCAAAAACAGAAGACAGGGUAAGGAAUUCUGUUGACCGAAGGAAAGGUGUGAGGCACUCCUCGAGUCCCGUGGUUCUAGUACAGUCACUUUUAUUGACUUAUACUUAGCUUUAACUAUUUUGGAUAAAUUCUGUUUGCAGGCCUUAAAUCGCUCAUCUUUAAUUAUACCGAAAACUUGUCUAUUAUCAUAUAUUUAAAUAAAUCGAUGAAAGUCAAUUUUAGAAAAAUAUUUGCCAAAGUGAAUUAUUGAAUCCUUGAAUUUUUAAAUGUCUCAAAAAAGAUGUGUGUGCCGUAUUCUCAAUUGAGAUGAAUAUUUUAACGUACCUAAAAAAUUACCUAACAUUAAAGGCGUUGGUUGGCCGUUUAUAAACUCGUAAAAAUUUUAUCUUAUCACAAUGCUAUUUAACUUUAACAAUAACCUUUAGUAAAUAUUUAUUUAAGGCAAUCAAUUAAAUUAACAAUAAAAAUUAUUAAAAUUUAUUAAUUACAAUGAAUAAUAAUAAAAUAAAAUUAUAAAUAGUAACUAAAAAAAUACACAAAACUAACCAUAUUAUGUUAAUCUUUAAUAUGAUCCCCCAAAUCUAUUCUCUCUAAUUAAUGCAAACCCAAAGCACCGUGAGACCAUGUUUGAUGAAAUCACAUACUUAAAUUUGUAAUAUGUUCAACUACAGAAUAAGCCAACAAAUAGUCAUAAAAUAAAUUCAAACAAACACCAUGAAACUUGAGAAAAUUGAAGAAAAGGUGUCUUUUAAGUCUUGAAUAAAGGAUUGGUGACAUUGACCAACUUAAAGUGUCAAACAUCAUUAGAAAACUUGAUUAAGUUAAUUGUGGACUUGAUUAAUAUUUUCAAAACUUUUUAAUCUUUUCAAAAAUACAAAUUGACCCAACCCACACCCCUCUUCAAUCCAAAUCAACCAUUCUCUCUCGCUUGACAGCUUCUCUCAACUCUCUCCCAACCAAUAGUUCUGCAAAAUUUCUUCCUUCAACCUUCGGCGAUAAAUAGUCGGGCGAGUUCCUUUUCGACUUUCAACCGUCAAUCGACAUGAAGACUUCUCCAGCGACAACAACUUUGAGUUCUUCAUCAUCCCAUUUCUUUUUUCAUAGGUAAAAAUUAUGAAGAAACAAAGAAACUUGAGCCAACUAUUCUUCUAGUAUUGAAAUGUGGACUAAAAAAACCCUAAUUUUUGACAAUUCUUUUUCUUAUUGUCGCACUGUUGAUUCGAAUUUGUUGUUGAUUUUUUACCAUAGUUGAUGUUCUUAGUGUGUGUAUGUGUGUGAUGUAUUGGUGUUGUUGGGUUGAUUUAUUAUUUGUAUUGGUAAAAAUGGUAUUGCAACAGAUCAAAUAUUUGAUAUAACAGAUGAAACAUCUGAUGUAAUAGAUGAAAUAUUUGAUGUGACAAAUGAAUACAUCUAAUGCAACAGAUGGAAAUAUCUGAUGCAACAGAUAAAAAUCUGAUUCAACUAUGAAAAUCUAAUACAACAGGUGAACAAUCUAAUAGAUUAUUCAUCUGUUACGACAGACAACUCUUCUAUUUGGAAGAAAUCUAAACAAUAUUGAUCCAACAGAUAACUGAUUAGUGAUUUAUUUUUAUUCUUUCCAACGGUUUACUCUUCAUUUUGCAACAGAUUAGUGACUGCUUUUUUUCUAAUGGUUUACUCAUCCAUUGCAACAGAUCAGUUAAAUAUUAGAACAGAUAACAUACCUGGUGCAACAGAUUAGUGAUUUAUUUUUAUGGUUUCCAACGGAUUACUCAUUCGUUGCAACAGGUUGGUUAUAUGUUGCAAUAGAUAAACUACCUGGUGCAACAGAUUAGUGAUCUGUUUUUAUUCUUUCCAACUAUUUUCUCAUCCAUUGCAAUAGGUCGGUUAUAUAUUGCAACAGAUAACAUACCUGGUGCAAUAGAUUAGUGAUCUAUUUUUAUGGUUUCCAAUGUAUUACUCAUCCGUUGCAAUAGGUUUCCAACGGAUUACUCAUUCGUUGCAACAGGUUGGUUAUAUGUUGCAAUAGAUAAACUACCUGGUGCAACAGAUUAGUGAUCUGUUUUUAUUCUUUCCAACUAUUUUCUCAUCCAUUGCAAUAGGUCGGUUAUAUAUUGCAACAGAUAACAUACCUGGUGCAAUAGAUUAGUGAUCUAUUUUUAUGGUUUCCAAUGUAUUACUCAUCCGUUGCAAUAGGCCGGUUAUAUGUUGCAUCAAAUAAAAUACCAGGUGCAAUAGAUUAGUGAUCUACUUUAUGGUUCCCAUAAAUUACUCAUCCAUUACAAUGGGUCGGUUAUAUGUUGCAUCCAAUAAAAUAUAGGUAUAACAGAUUAGUGACCUAUUUUUAUGGUUUUCAUGGACUACUCAUUCGUUGCAACAGGUCAGUUAUAUAUUGCAACAGAUAACAUACCUGGUGCAAUAGAUUAGUGGUCUGUUGGAACUAUUAUAUUACUGUUAUGCAUUAAUCAAUUACAAUCUAUGUUAUGUUUCUAUUAAUUUAAGAUAAUAUGGCUCCCAAAAGAAAAGAAAUCUAAUCAAGUUCAAGUAAAGGAACAAGUGUAGCAGCUCAGCUACAUCCACUACUCUAUGAGAUUGCUUUACAAGCAUUAUCUCAAUUAGGAGCAGAAGAUAAUGAACACGAGGAGUAGGAAUCUUUUAAAAGAGAUGAUCCAAAUGAUAAUAGCCCUUCUGCCAAAGAGUUGGUUAAAACCUUCAGCGUUGAUCAUUAUCCUGUGUGAAUGCAGUGCGACGGUGCCAUCGAUUUAAUGGGUGAUCUCGUGGUUAAGUCAGUCAUGGGAAAAUCUUUUGACGCCUUUAGAAAAAUACUUCGAGUAUAAAAAUUGGAUUCUUAUUUCAGGGAAAGCUGCUUUGGGAAAUAUCUUUAUUUGUCGGAAGACAACAAUACUUGUUUCCAGAUGAAAAUGGUAUAUGAUCUUCUCAAGUGCAGGUUUAUGUAUGAAAACAAAGAUAAGAUGGAUGAGGUGUGGAUAAAUUACUGUGGCAUACCUAUUUUUUUUGGUUGGAAGGAGUUUGCCAUAGUUACCAGACUAAAAUAUUAUCCUCUUUCUCCUUCUCAAGUUAUACCUACUCUGACCCCAAAAAAAGCACACCGCACACCAAAAAAGGCAAAGACAAGUCGAGUGAUCAUGAUGACCUAGUGGUUAUUGUUGGUCCAAGAUUAAAAAAUAAAAAUCCUAUAGAAGCGUUGAAUGGUAAAGGACUUUCAAAGAAGCACAAACAAUCAUUGUGCUUGAUUUGGUUUGUACAUAAUGUUCUUUGGGCGAGAGAUAUUAACAACAACAUAAGCCUUGGGGUUAUGAAAGCUUCAAAAUGACUGUCGAAUAUUUGUUGACUCUGUUAACGCCAAAACUAGUCAAUUUAUAUGGCUUUCCAUUGGCCUUCAUGGUAAAUAUUUCUUUUAUCAUGAUAUGAUUCAUCAUUUUUUAUUCAAUAAUGCUUUUGAUUUAUCGACGCUAUGUUAUAGGCUUGGGCAUUUGAAGCCAUUCCUUAUUUGAGACAACAAGUGAACUACCAGGAAUAAGUUUCUUAUCCAAGAAUUCUGAGAUGGUUGCCGGCCAAAACCGAUAAAAAUGCAAAAUUUCUUGAUUUUUUCAAUCCCCCCAAGGAAGUUGUAAGUCCAAUUCUAAUCAAGUUUUUAUUUUAAUUAAUGAUUAAAUGAUUUCACCAUCAUUCUUAAUAUAUGUACCAAUUUAUUUUAGAUUGUCUAUUCAUGGCUUGUUCCGACCAACCGAGAGUUGAAGAUGACAGUUUUUCUUACUUUACGGUCUGUACAAACUUUAUUGGACCCUAAGGUCGUUGAUGGAAUAAAAAUAGAAUUGUUUGGAGCAACAACCAUCACAAGCAAAAUUUUUUUGGAGGGUAGGGCUAAUGAUUCUCCUCUUACAGUUUUUGAAACAAUAAGCCAUUACGAUUAUGAUCAUAAUGGUUGUAUAGAUUUUUCUCCAGAUUUUGACACAUCUAGUUAAUGUUCUGCAUACAAAUGUCAAGACAGCAAGGCAAAACAUGAUGUAGUGAUUAAUACUAUUAAUGCACUAAUUGGUUUUGUAAAAGAAAUGACAUCUAAGAGGGGUGUCAUUCCAUCAAAAAGGAUUUCAUAUCUAGACACUCCACUAGAGAUCAAGGCGGCUAAGAGGAGAAGGAAAGACACUUCUAAGGCAUCAUCAAGAAUAAAAAAAAGCAAGAUUGCAAUGCCUCUGUCUUUGUCUUACAUUGAUGUUUAGUGUGCAAGGGCCACAGGAGAGCAGCAUGAGCUGAAGAAGGUCAAGGAAGUUGUAAGUCCAAUUCUAAUCAAGUUUUUAUUUUAAUUAAUGAUUAAAUGAUUUCACCAUCAUUCUUAAUAUAUGUACCAAUUUAUUUUAGAUUGUCUAUUCAUGGCUUGUUCCGACCAACCGAGAGUUGAAGAUGACAGUUUUUCUUACUUUACGGUCUGUACAAACUUUAUUGGACCCUAAGGUCGUUGAUGGAAUAAAAAUAGAAUUGUUUGGAGCAACAACCAUCACAAGCAAAAUUUUUUUGGAGGGUAGGGCUAAUGAUUCUCCUCUUACAGUUUUUGAAACAAUAAGCCAUUACGAUUAUGAUCAUAAUGGUUGUAUAGAUUUUUCUCCAGAUUUUGACACAUCUAGUUAAUGUUCUGCAUACAAAUGUCAAGACAGCAAGGCAAAACAUGAUGUAGUGAUUAAUACUAUUAAUGCACUAAUUGGUUUUGUAAAAGAAAUGACAUCUAAGAGGGGUGUCAUUCCAUCAAAAAGGAUUUCAUAUCUAGACACUCCACUAGAGAUCAAGGCGGCUAAGAGGAGAAGGAAAGACACUUCUAAGGCAUCAUCAAGAAUAAAAAAAAGCAAGAUUGCAAUGCCUCUGUCUUUGUCUUACAUUGAUGUUUAGUGUGCAAGGGCCACAGGAGAGCAGCAUGAGCUGAAGAAGGUGAAUGUACAUCACCUGUUCCAAAAAACAAAUAGGAAUAUAUUUAUUUCAAUAGAUGAUACAUCUGCUGAAAAUUAUCAAACAGAUAUAUACAUCUGUUGCAACUGUUGUCUAACCUAUUGCAUCAGAUUCAUUAUCUGUUUCAACAGAUGAGUCUUAUGUUACAACAAAUGGAUCAUCUAUUCAAAAUUAUCAUACUGAUCUGAUUUACCUGUUCGAAUUUAUCCCAACAGAUAAUCCAUCUGAUGCAACAUAAAACUCAUCUGUUGCAAUAGAUGGACAAUCUGUUGUAUAUCUCUAGUUAGCAUUGACAAUUGGCUUUCCAGGUGGAUGUCAUAGUAGAUGCUACUAUCGAAGAGCAUAAUAUCACAGUUGAUAAUCCAUCAACUGCUUCCAAAGAAAAAGAUAAAGUGGAGCCUGUCAGUUUGGGAGAAAGGAAGAAUUACCUAUUUGAAAGGUUCAACAUCUCGAACGAGGCUCCAAAAAAACUAACACUGUUGAUCAACGACUAUCCAGAAUGGUUUAUAAUAUUCUUGUUGUAAGAACCUGACAUUAACAUAUAUAAAUCAUCAUGUAGAAACCAAAAUGACGACCGAUACAAAGUGAACAAAUCGAGUCUUGAUUUUGAUAUGUUCAACUUUGUUGUUGCACAUCUCAGAAUGAAGAAUUAGUUCUAUUUGAUGUCACAACCCCUAACUUAUUGGAAUGAUGAGGUUUAAAUGUCAUACAUAUUACUAUUAAUUAAUACUUUAUUUAAUUGCAUCUGCAUAUUGAUUUUUUUAUCACGUAAUCCUAAUGUUUGAUAAUAUGUGCAGCACAUCGAUAUCAUUUUUUACUACCUUUGAAAGAAGGCCAAGUUGCAAACACAAGAACAAUACAGAUAUAUGACAGACAAUUAUUUGUACAAAUUUUACAUCAAUAAUGCCUACGAUAGGUAUUGUCAACAAC